CAGAGGGUGCAAGCGUUGUUCGGAAUUACUGGGCGUAAAGCGAGUGUAGGCGGCUUAUUAAGUCAGAUGUGAAAUCCCUUGGCUCAACUGAGGAACUGCAUCUGAAACUGGUAAGCUUGAGUGUCGGAGGGGAUGGUAGAAUUCCUGGUGUAGAGGUGAAAUUCGUAGAUAUCAGGAGGAAUACCUGUGGCGAAGGCGACCAUCUGGAAGACAACUGACGCUGAGACUCGAAAGCGUGGGUAGCAAACAGGAUUAGAUACCCUGGUAGUCCACGCUGUAAACGAUGAGUGCUAGAUGUUGUGGGUAUUGACCCCGCAGUGUCAAAGCUAACGCGUUAAAGCACUCCGCCUGGGGAGUACGGUCGCAAGAUUA
rnacentral:rRNA from 1 species